rnacentral:tRNA from 1 species
GGCACUGUGGCUCAGUGGAAAGAGCCAGGGCUUCGGAGACAGAGGUCACGGGUUCAACUCCCGGCUCUGCCA